rnacentral:lncRNA from 1 species
CUUUAGGAGGCCUUCCCGAUCUCCAUUUUGGACGUGCAACCUAUGGAUGGAAAGAUCUUUGAGUGAAGUUUCACUCUCUAGUUUAAGGUUUUGGUUAAUUUUGGCUGCAAGUUUGCGAAAAUUUCCCUUUUCUCUCUGGAGGUUGAUCUGGAAUUUCUGGGUUUGCUCUUUUUCUGGAGUUGCUUCUGAAGGUGUCUUUGGGGAACGAUUCCGAGCUCUCCCCUCUCUCUC